GACGAACGCUGGCGGCGUGCUUAACACAUGCAAGUCGAACGGAAAGGCCCUGCUUGCAGGGUACUCGAGUGGCGAACGGGUGAGUAACACGUGGGUGAUCUGCCCUGCACUUCGGGAUAAGCCUGGGAAACUGGGUCUAAUACCGGAUAGGAGCCAUUUUUAGUGUGAUGGUUGGAAAGUUUUUUCGGUGUAGGAUGAGCUCGCGGCCUAUCAGCUUGUUGGUGGGGUAAUGGCCUACCAAGGCGGCGACGGGUAGCCGGCCUGAGAGGGUGGACGGCCACAUUGGGACUGAGAGACGGCCCAGACUCCUAAGGGAGGCAGCAGUGGGGAAUAUUGCACAAUGGGCGCAAGCCUGAUGCAGCGACGCCGCGGGGGGGAUGACGGCCUUCGGGUUGUAAACUCCUUUCGCUAGGGACGAAGCUUUUUGUGACGGUACCUAGAUAAGAAGCACCGGCUAACUACGUG
rnacentral:rRNA from 1 species